AGUACUGCUUCUGACUCAGAGGCCUCAAAACCUGUUCCUGCUGUGCUAACACUGGGACUGGUGCAGGGGCUACACUGGCUUGGUCUUCUCAAGCCCUAUUCAAAUUCAUCAUGAUGGCACAGAGGUGAUUCUUGCUUCUCAAAGGCUCUUCCAGAAAAGCAUAUGACCUGAUAGGUCCUACAAAAUUGGAAAGGUGAGGAUCCUGAGGUCACACACACAUCUGCUAAAUGGCAGUGUCAGAAUUUGAAUUUACAUCUGACUCCAAGGCCUAAAACUUUUUUCUUUGUUCUGCAAAAUUCAUGUCAUGUGAGUUUUCCAGAGUUGUUACAGACAGCAUUUAGUGGGUCAUUGAAAUGUCAUGUCCCAAGAAAAAACAAAAUGGCUGCUGCUUUUUAUCAUGAUAUCUGAUAUUUAA